GACACAUAGACUCCAUUACAUCAUAGUACGCUGACUAGGAGGGGUAAUAAAGAGGGAGUUGGGGAAACAUAUUGAAACAGCCAGUCCAGGGUCUCUGGUAAUCUGUCAAGGUCCUGUGGUCAUCUCUCUCCUUGAUAGUCUCACUAGACAGCAGAAAGCUGAAAAUGCUUGUCUGAGAAGCCAGAGAAACCAGGACUUGCCUAAGAACAUACUGAGAAGCACUUAUCAGGAAAGUGGUCACGAAACACAAGCCACAGACUGCUGAAUCCAGUGCAAAGAAGGGAAAAGAUCCCUGCUGCUCCCACCAGAACCACAGCUUUCCAAUCUGAGAGCUGGGAAUGCUUGUCUGAGAAGCCAGAGAAACCAGGACUUGCCUAAGAACAUCCUGAGAAGCACUUAUCAGGAAAGUGGUCACGAAACACAAGCCACAGACUGCUGAAUCCAGUGCAAAGAAGGGAAAAGAUCCCUGCUGCUCCCACCAGAACCAUAGCUUUCCAUUCUGAGAGCUGGGAAUGCUUGUCUGAGAAGCCAGAGAAACCAGGACUUGCCUAAGAACAUCCUGAGAAGCACUUAUCAGGAAAGUGGUCACGAAACACAAGCCACAGACUGCUGAAUCCAGUGCAAAGAAGGGAAAAGAUCCCUGCUGCUCCCACCAGAACCAUAGCUUUCCAUUCUGAGAGCUGGGAAUGCUUGUCUGAGAAGCCAGAGAAACCAGGACUUGCCUAAGAACAUCCUGAGAAGCACUUAUCAGGAAAGUGGUCACGAAACACAAGCCACAGACUGCUGAAUCCAGUGCAAAGAAGGGAAAAGAUCCCUGCUGCUCCCACCAGAACCAUAGCUUUCCAUUCUGAGAAAUCAUGACGAGAAGACUAAAGGGAGUGUCAAAAGGGCCUGCCUGAGUUAGGAGGAAAAUUGAGGAAGCCAAAGGGGAAAGGAGUUGAGCACUUUGAUUCCUAUGUUAAAUCCCAUGGAAGAGAUUCAUAUUAGGAAUUCUCCUCUACACUCCCUUCAAGUCCAGAAUACAGCCCUGACGAGUCCUUUCUAGGCAUUACUGACUCCCUUUGUGAUCUAUGGAGCCAAAAAGGCCGCUAAUGGAUGUCUGAGAGGGGAGAGAGGUCCAGAAAUCUACUCAAAGGCAACUCUGAGGAUCAAUUGGCAGAGAAGUGGUGAGGAAAUAGAAGCCACAGACUGCUGAAUCCUGACUCAAAAGAAAGAUAAGACCCCUGCUAGUCCCUCCAGAGCAACAGAUUUCCAUUCUGAGGAAUCUUGGAGAGAAGACUAAACAGGAGUAAUAAAAGGGCUUUCAGAAACAGCUGCCUGAAAUACAAGAAGAGAUGAGAAAGCCAAAGGAGAAAGCAGUUGAGCACGUUGAUUCCUUUGGAAAAUCCCAAAGAAGAGGGCUGCUAAUGGAUGUCUAAGAGGGGAGAGAAUUCUGGGAAUUUACCCAAAGUUCACCCUGAAAUUCACUUGUCAGAAAAGUCAUCGGGAAACACAAUCAACAGACUGCUGAAUCCAGUCCCAAGGGAAAGAAAUGAUUCCUACUGGUCACCCCAGGACUGUGGCUUUCCAUUCUGAGAAUGUUGUCAUCCCCAUCCAUUGGCAGUUACGGUGGCAGAAGCCCGAAGGCGGCCCACAGAGGCACUUUCAGAUACACAUGCCUGACUGAGGCAGAAGAGUCAUGGCAACCCAAGGCAACACAGGCUGGCAAUAUUCAUUCCUAUGGAAUGCGAUGGUGGAAGAGUCAGACAUCUCUCCUCCUCGACUAGUCUGUGAUGUUCUACCAGCCACAGGGAGAUUGCUUCUCCCCCGACAUGCAAAGAUCAUGGAUAUCUCUCACUCAACUUGUCUCUCUCUGCUUCCACAAAGACUGAAGAAGAGCAAGAAUUAAGAAGCAGGAGCCCAAUUCAAUGUAGCAUUGGGGCUCCGAGUAUAGGAAAAAGCUUUCCCCGGAGGGCAAUAAACACUUCAUCACCCACCCAAA